GAGAUAAGGUUUCACCAUAUUUGUCACACUGGUCUCGAACUCCUGACCUCAGGUGAUCUGCCCGCCUUGACCUCCCAAAGUGCUGGGAUUACAGGUGUGAGCCAUAACGCCUGGCCCUAGUAUUUUUAACUAUUGGAAAUGAUACAGAUGUCUUGAGGGAAAAAUAUGGCUUCAUUUAUAAUGUGUUGAAGUGAAAAGAGAGAAAUCUGUGUUUGAUAUUUAAGUCUGAGAAUAACUUCAAUAAAAUAGCACAUGGAUUAAGAUGAAAUGUGAAAAUUUAUUUUCUCCCCCCUUCCAUGUAGAUUAUUAAGUGACUCUCCAUCUUGUAGAGAAAAUGAUUCAAUACAAUCAAGGAAAAAUGAAGAAAGUCAAGAGAUUCAGAAAAAACUGUAUACAUUAGAAGAACAUCUUAGCAGUGAGAUACAAGCCAAAGAGGAACUGGAACAGAAGUGCAAAUCUGUUAAUACUCGCCUAGAAAAAACAGCAAAGGAGCUAGAAGAGGAGAUUACCUUAAGGAAAAGUGUGGAAUCAGCAUUAAGACAGUUAGAAAGAGAAAAGGCGCUUCUUCAGCACAAAAAUGCAGAAUAUCAGAGGAAAGCUGAUCAUGAAGCAGACAAGAAACGAAAUUUGGAAAAUGAUGGUUUGUGUUGUAGAAUAUUAAUUAUCAAGAAAAAAA